AGUGGACAAACCGGUAAAGUUUGAACUCUUUAUGGUGGUUGGUGCGCCUGUUUGGGAAAAAAUCACAUGAUAAAUAUUCAGGUACAGGUUCUAACUGAUUUGGGUGCAACAUGUGAGAAAUGUUAUAAUAAACAAUUUGGUAAAGGGAAAGUAGAAAACAUCUCAACAAUGAAGUAAUGUGGAGAAGUUAAAUUACAUACUGACACAAUAAAGAGUAGUUUGAACUAUCCGUAUGUAUUUUUAACUUAAUUGAAUUUAUUUGCAUUAUGGCUGUUAAAUAAUUACAGCAUUCAAAAUUUUCUAUCA